AUUGAACGCUGGCGGCAGGCCUAACACAUGCAAGUCGAACGGUAACAGGAAGCAGCUUGCUGCUUCGCUGACGAGUGGCGGACGGGUGAGUAAUGUCUGGGAAGCUGCCUGAUGGAGGGGGAUAACUACUGGAAACGGUAGCUAAUACCGCAUAAUGUCGCAAGACCAAAGAGGGGGACCUUCGGGCCUCUUGCCAUCGGAUGUGCCCAGAUGGGAUUAGCUUGUUGGUGGGGUAACGGCUCACCAAGGCGACGAUCCCUAGCUGGUCUGAGAGGAUGACCAGCCACACUGGAACUGAGACACGGUCCAGACUCCUACGGGAGGCAGCAGUGGGGAAUAUUGCACAAUGGGCGCAAGCCUGAUGCAGCCAUGCCGCGUGUAUGAAGAAGGCCUUCGGGUUGUAAAGUACUUUCAGCGGGGAGGAAGGGAGUAAAGUUAAUACCUUUGCUCAUUGACGUUACCCGCAGAAGAAGCACCGGCUAACUCCGUGCCAGCAGCCGCGGUAAUACGGAGGGUGCAAGCGUUAAUCGGAAUUACUGGGCGUAAAGCGCACGCAGGCGGUUUGUUAAGUCAGAUGUGAAAUCCCCGGGCUCAACCUGGGAACUGCAUCUGAUACUGGCAAGCUUGAGUCUCGUAGAGGGGGGUAGAAUUCCAGGUGUAGCGGUGAAAUGCGUAGAGAUCUGGAGGAAUACCGGUGGCGAAGGCGGCCCCCUGGACGAAGACUGACGCUCAGGUGCGAAAGCGUGGGGAGCAAACAGGAUUAGAUACCCUGGUAGUCCACGCCGUAAACGAUGUCGACUUGGAGGUUGUGCCCUUGAGGCGUGGCUUCCGGAGCUAACGCGUUAAGUCGACCGCCUGGGGAGUACGGCCGCAAGGUUAAAACUCAAAUGAAUUGACGGGGGCCCGCACAAGCGGUGGAGCAUGUGGUUUAAUUCGAUGCAACGCGAAGAACCUUACCUGGUCUUGACAUCCACGGAAGUUUUCAGAGAUGAGAAUGUGCCUUCGGGAACCGUGAGACAGGUGCUGCAUGGCUGUCGUCAGCUCGUGUUGUGAAAUGUUGGGUUAAGUCCCGCAACGAGCGCAACCCUUAUCCUUUGUUGCCAGCGGUCCGGCCGGGAACUCAAAGGAGACUGCCAGUGAUAAACUGGAGGAAGGUGGGGAUGACGUCAAGUCAUCAUGGCCCUUACGACCAGGGCUACACACGUGCUACAAUGGCGCAUACAAAGAGAAGCGACCUCGCGAGAGCAAGCGGACCUCAUAAAGUGCGUCGUAGUCCGGAUUGGAGUCUGCAACUCGACUCCAUGAAGUCGGAAUCGCUAGUAAUCGUGGAUCAGAAUGCCACGGUGAAUACGUUCCCGGGCCUUGUACACACCGCCCGUCACACCAUGGGAGUGGGUUGCAAAAGAAGUAGGUAGCUUAACCUUCGGGAGGGCGCUUACCACUUUGUGAUUCAUGACUGGGGUG
rnacentral:rRNA from 1 species